GAACCAUGAAGAUAACUUGAUAUGAUAGCGGAAUGUUGACUCGAGACCACUACUAGUCAAUACCACUAAUAGGCCACAGCAAGUAAUGUGGAUGGACACUUGAUGUAAACCAACAAAAACAGCUAGACAACUAGACAAUGGCUUAACAAAGAUGAUGAAACAAACAGGAGAUUGGACUAUAAUUAAUAAAUCUCCAUUCACUUCCAUUCAUGAGAACUUUGUAAACAAGGAUCCACAGGGUAACAUCACGGUAACAAUAGCGGUCAAAAACGAGAACACUAACAGUAACCACGGCAAAACCAUAAACGUAACUUCAAUCAAACUUCGAAACCAUAAGUAAGUUCAGACGAGACCAAUCUAAAAAGCCAACAGAAAAUCUAAUUCCUCCAGUUCCCAUCGGAACCACCACCGCCUCCACCUCUUGAAGAGCGAUCGUUGUAGCGGUCACCUCCUCCAUAACCACCACCGCCUCCACCGUAACCACCUUCACGACGACCACCUCCGUAGCCGCCUCCACCGUAGCCGCCGCCGCCGCCUUCACGUCGGCCACCUCCGUAGCCGCCGCCGCCACCGUAGCCUCCGCCACCGCCUUCACGUCGGCCACCUCCGUAGCCGCCGCCGCCACCGUAGCCUCCGCCACCGCCUUCACGUCGGCCACCUCCGUAGCCGCCGCCGCCACCGUAGCCUCCGCCA
rnacentral:misc_RNA from 1 species